GGCUAUGGCGGGCGGUGCGUGGGGGCUUGAUGCCCGCCGGUGUAUGCGUAGAGCUCCGGGAUUCGAACCACGUACCGUCCGCCACCUCU
rnacentral:antisense_RNA from 2 species